ACAACAAAAACAAAAAACCAAAAAAAAAAAAACCAAAAACCACGUUUUGUUUGUUUGUGUGUAUGUAUUUCUAUGUGUAAAAUUAUAUGUUGCAUAAGAGAUGUCACGUUACCUUUGCUGUUAAACAGUUUUGUAAUGAAGAGGGCCCCUUCCUGAAGGCUGAAGAGCACAGUCAAAUGCUCGUUGAUUUGACAGUGGAGGGCACUCAAGCUUUUUUGCAGUAUCGGGCCAACAGCUGAUUUUUCUUCCCUUGCAGAUGGCCCAGUAAGAUUUACCCAUCUCUUUUGUACUAUGUGAACUGUCUGCAGUAUGCCGAGCAAAGGUCUACAAAGUGCACCUUUGGGCUGAGACCAAGCAUGGAAAGUUUCAGCCCAAAUGGAGGCUUUUGAGAAAGUUCUGAACAUCUGACAAUGGGGUUAUCAUGGAAAUCUUUUUCUUUCUUUCUUUCCAAAGUACUCUCACAAUAGUUUUCAUAUUACUGAAAACUAUACUUAAGCCAAAUUUUGGAAGGCAUUAUCUAAAAUUCAAAACAUUUAAAGUCGUGUUGCUUUACAUCUGGUAAAUGCUAAAUAAAAGGCUUUUAAGUUUUGGAGAAAAUAAGCUGCAGUCAGUAUAGAGGACUACCUCUAUCAGCAAAAAACGUUAAUAUAUACUGAUUAUAAUCUAUUUCAGACUGUUUGGCAGUGUGAACUAAGUAUAAUAUUUUGUUAAAAUCAUGUACUAGAUCAGUGUGUAAAAAGCCAGAAUGUACAGUUGUACUCUGAAAAUUGACACGUUUUUGGCUUCCAUGCUUGCAGCCUCUUCGUCUUCCACAAGCAGUGGACUUUGUUGAUGGGUAAACUUUUUGCUGCCUUACCAAAUCAAUCUGAAGUUUUGAAUUUGAGGCUCUCUUGCAUAUUUGCUUACAUUAAAAAAAUGCAGUGAAUUUUUUAGCAUUUCCUGCACUCUGCCCUUUGUGUUACGUCAUCGUGCAGUUGCAUCCACGGCACGCCAUUGCAAAAAGUUGGAGACUUUUUCUGCAGUUGUCUGUCCUGUUAAAUUUAUUCUGCUUGUGUUCAUCCAACACUCUUAGAAGAUUUGUUUUGUUCUUACAUUAAAAAAAAUACUAAUAAAGGUGAAGCUUUUUCGCCAAAUAAGAAAUUACACCUGAAAUCGAGCAGGGAGUGUAUUUUGCGAAGGGUCACCCAGUCACUUUUCAGAGUAGAACAACAUUGUAAGUUCAUGUCUGCAUGCAGUUUCCAUUGGUACUCUGAUAAUGCCUGUCAAAUGCAGCUCUCCCUCCACCUUCAAAACUUGUUGUCCUGCCUGCUUGUAUCAACAGGUUCAGCUAAGUUUAACUCCUGUUUUAAAAUGGGCAUCAAACUCGGUUGCUCCUGUUUCAGCCACCAGAAUACUAGAGCACAAUCCUGGGGAAGGGUGCAUGGUUUAAUAACCCCUUUGUCAGACACUGCUGCAAUUUGUAGCUUAAAAAAAAAAAAAAAAAAAAAAAAAACAACAGUUUCCCUUUUACAAGAAACUUGUGAUAUUUUGCUGUUUUUAUCUCUUCUCACCAACUCUUACCCAACGUCCUAAAAUGGGAACGCACUAAUUACUUUGGUCUAGUGUCAGUUUUCCUGUAUCUGAAGGGAUUUAUCGGUUGUUUGUAACUGCUUCUUUACUGUAAUCAGUUGGAGCAGCAAGGUCAUGAAUUUGAACUACCCUUUCACUCCCAGGGACAAAAAGUUGCAAACAGAAGUAUUCUUCCCGUGUUAUAAAAAUUCCUUUAGAUUGGCAGCGCUUACUUGUUGGGUGGUACAUUGCAGCAAUUCAAGGGUUGGUUUUAGGGAUAGGAUUUUCAAAAUCUGGGCUUUUGGAGGUACUUAUUUUCAGUCUGUGCUUUGCAAACCAAGCUUGUUGGUAGAUCAGGUCAGUGUUUUUAGGAACGGGUUGUUCUGGGUAAUAGGGCUAUGCCAAGGGACCUCCAUUCUGGGGAACCUUGCGUUGCCUCUGUCGUGUACCUACUCUGUAGGACUUUGGUAAACCAGGCAUAAUAAGCACUUGCACUGAUUCCUAAAAUGCAUAUGCAUGUAUAUAUAUAGUCUCACAUACACAUACAUAGUCUAUUAUUUCCCAGGAGUAGGUGAAAUGUUUACUCAUUUUAGCUGAGGAUGAGAUUAAGCUGAUUUUUUACAGAUAUAAAAAUAUUUUGUAGAAAUCAAGUUUAACAUGUUUAUAUAAUUUUAUAUGUUUUACUAGAAAAUAACAUCUCUGACUGCAUUUAAACAGCAGUUUCUGUGCAAUAAAUCUGUUUUAUGUCUCGGUUAGAAAUAAUUGAACCAAAUGCUUUGGUAAUAAGUACUAACAGACUAACGCUAUCAAUAAAUCUGCAUAGAUCUAGGUUUUAAUAUUUUUUCAUACUGCCUUUUACAUUAAAUAUGUUGUCUAAGUUGAGGAGUUAAUAAUUUAACAUGAUUCAUCUCCUUAAAGCUUAGUAAAGCUCUGUUUUAGAUGGCCUAUGUGCCUUUUAUGCCUCUGUGCCUCUUCUUCCCUAUGGACUAGGCACUGGGAUUUGGGUUCAAUUAAACUGUAAAACAACUUAAUAAUAUUCCUUGCAUUGGAGAUCUUCCUUUUACAAGAUCAGGAGUGAUAGCUAAGUGAUUAGCUACAAGCUGCGUGCUUUAUUCCCCAGUGGUUUGUAAUUGUGAGGAUGCACGGAUUCCUGACAGCAGUCUUCUGAAGUGCCAGCAUUUGCAGAAAAGUUUAGACUAGGUGUUUGAUCAAGUAGGGUAUGGUUUUCUGUGUGUGUUUUGUCCCAAAAUAACUAGUGAGAACUAGCCUGUGUUACCUUCUGGUAUGGAGUCAGACUCUUUAAAACAGGAAUUCUUGAAGAGGAUGGGGAUGUGGUAGGCUCACCAGGAGGAUUUGGGUAACUAGAACUCAGAUUUCAGUUUUUUAGUUCUAAGCCGUUCAUAGUAAAAGCUUGUGGGAAGGAGAGCAACUGUCUUCAAUGUCCACACUAAGGCUUAGAUGGCUUUGGACAGAGAAUUUAAUGAGGCUGUAAUAUUUAAGAAAGUAGUCCUCUGUAUACAAGAGUAUAAGUAAGUACCUGUGGCAGUAGGAUUUUAUUUUUCGGGCUUUCUUAUUUUUCAAAUCUGAAAAGUUGUCACUGAACUACAACAUUACCGCAGAAAUAAAAAAAAGUUAAAAGCUGAUUUUUGUGAAAAAAGUCCAUCAAAUCACAGUUUUUAUAAUAGUUUCCAGGGUUUUACAGCUUAAGCUUUUGAAGUGUGACAGUUUCCUUUAGGAAUGAUGGAUAUAUUAUGUUUUUAGCCAUCCUGUAUUAUGACCCUGCUUACUGUGAUCAUCUUAGGUAGUUUUGCAGGCUAGACAGGAGUCUCCCAGGUGCAGCAUUGUCUUCUUAAGCCUUAAAAAGGGACCGUUCCCAAAUUAGACUGAGGAAGGACUUGAUUGAUAAUCUUGAGUGUGAAUUGUAUGCGUGCAGUUUUACUACACACACAGAACAGUUGUU